rnacentral:rRNA from 1 species
UGGGGAAUUUUGGACAAUGGGCGAAAGCCUGAUCCAGCAAUGCCGCGUGUGUGAAGAAGGCCUUCGGGUUGUAAAGCACUUUUGUCCGGAAAGAAAUCCUUGGCUCUAAUACAGUCGGGGGAUGACGGUACCGGAAGAAUAAGCACCGGCUAACUACGUGCCAGCAGCCGCGGUAAUACGUAGGGUGCAAGCGUUAAUCGGAAUUACUGGGCGUAAAGCGUGCGCAGGCGGUUUGCUAAGACCGAUGUGAAAUCCCCGGGCGUCAACCUGGGAACUGCAUUGGUGACUGGCAGGCUAGAGUAUGGCAGAGGGGGGUAGAAUUCCACGUGUAGCAGUGAAAUGCGUAGAGAUGUGGAGGAAUACCGAUGGCGAAGGCAGCCCCCUGGCAAUACUGACGCUCAUGCACG